GCCAGUGUGGCUAAAAUAAAGCAGGCAGAGGAACGUGGAAGGACUAGACUGCCUGAGUCUUCUGACCUUCAUCUUUCCCCUGUGUUGGAUGCCUCCUGCCCUCAAACAUCAGACUCCAGGUUCUUCAGCUUUUGGACUCUUGGACCUACCCCCCGAGUGGUUUGCCAGGGGCUCUCAGGCCUUCGGCUACAGACUGAGGGCUGCAUUAUCAGCUUUCCUACUUUUGAGGUUUUGGGACUUUACUGGCUUUCUUGCUCCUCAACUUGCAGAUGGCCUGUUGUGGGACCUCACCUUGUGAUCAUGUACAUGAGGGAAAUACACACCCCUCCCAGGGAUGAUGGAAGGUUAAGGUCCUAACACCUCCUGCACAUCUGAGCAGCUGCACAUUGAACCAGAUAGUCCUGGAAUGUGGGAAAACAGAGGCAGACUCAAGAGUCUGGAACAUUAUUUUAGGAUCACACAAAAAAGAUACAUAAUUUUCAUAGGUAAGUGUUGUUUUUUUGUUGUUGUUGGAAAAAAGUUUCUCACUAAUAACUAUCUAAAAGGGAAGUAAUUAGGGUUUCAGGCGUUCUAAAAAUAACUGUAAAGAGGGUUUUGUUUUGGUUUUGGUUCGUUCUGGUGUGCCUUACAGCUUUCCCUAAGGCAACACACUUACUGACCUAUUGCUAGGGCAAAUAGGUGGAAAAAAACAAGCUUUCCUCUCUCUGGAGAAAGGAAGGGUCAGGUGUAACACUGAAGUGACUCAAAAGUAGGGGAGCUUGUAUCAGCUCUGGUCUGCACAAUGAUUCCCCUGCUCUUUACAUAGAAAAA
rnacentral:lncRNA from 1 species